rnacentral:rRNA from 1 species
GACGAACGCUGGCGGCGUGCCUAAUACAUGCAAGUCGAGCGGAGUUGCUCCUUCGGGAGCGGCUUAGCGGCGGACGGGUGAGUAACACGUAGGCAACCUGCCUGUAAGCCUGGGUUAACUACCGGAAACGGUAGCUAAGACCGGAUACGUCACUUGGGGGCAUCCCCGGGUGUGGAAAUGCGGCGCAAGCUGCAGCUUACGGAUGGCCCUGCGGCGCAUUAGCUGGUUGGUGAGGUAACGGCUCACCAAGGCGACGAUGCGUAGCCGACCUGAGAGGGUGACCGGCCACACUGGGACUGAGACACGGCCCAGACUCCUACGGGAGGCAGCAGUAGGGAAUCUUCGGCAAUGGACGCAAGUCUGACCGAGCAACGCCGCGUGAGUGAAGAAGGUCUUCGGAUCGUAAAACUCUGUUGCCAAGGAAGAACGCCGAGGAGAGGAGCUGCUCUUCGGGUGACGGUACUUGAGAAGAAAGCCCCGGCUAACUACGUGCCAGCAGCCGCGGUAAAAC